GAGUUUGAUCGUGGCUCAGAUUGAACGCUGGCGGCAUGCCUUACACAUGCAAGUCGAACGGCAGCACGGGAGCUUGCUCCUGGUGGCGAGUGGCGAACGGGUGAGUAAUGCAUCGGAAUGUAUCCUGGAGUGGGGGAUAACGUAGCGAAAGUUACGCUAAUACCGCAUAUUCUGUGAGCAGGAAAGCGGGGGACCUUCGGGCCUCGCGCUCUUGGAGCGGCCGAUGUCGGAUUAGCUAGUUGGUGAGGUAAAGGCUCACCAAGGCGACGAUCCGUAGCAGGUCUGAGAGGAUGAUCUGCCACACUGGAACUGAGACACGGUCCAGACUCCUACGGGAGGCAGCAGUGGGAAUUUUGGACAAUGGGGGCAACCCUGAUCCAGCCAUGCCGCGUGAGUGAAGAGGA
rnacentral:rRNA from 1 species